UUACUCUGGUUUCUCUGCAUCACGCAUAAAUCUUUCGCCUUUUACUAAAGAUUUCCGUGCAGAGGAACACCUCAUUGGGUUUAAACUCAAUUUUUCUCAGCCCUUGAGGAAAUCAAGGGU